rnacentral:rRNA from 1 species
GACGAACGCUGGCGGCGUGCCUAAUACAUGCAAGUAGAACGCACAGUUUAUACCGUAGCUUGCUACACCAUAGACUGUGAGUUGCGAACGGGUGAGUAACGCGUAGGUAACCUGCCUGGUAGCGGGGGAUAACUAUUGGAAACGAUAGCUAAUACCGCAUAAUAUUAAUUAUUGCAUGAUAAUUGAUUGAAAGAUGCAACUGCAUCACUACCAGAUGGACCUGCGUUGUAUUAGCUAGUAGGUGAGGUAACGGCUCACCUAGGCGACGAUACAUAGCCGACCUGGGAGGGUGAACGGCCACACUGGGACUGAGAAACGGCCCAGAAUCCUACGGGAGGCAGCAGUAGGGGAUCUUCGGCAAUGGACGAAAGUCUGACCGAGCAACGCCGCGUGAGGGAAGAAGGUUUUCGGAUCGUAAAGCUCUGUUGUAAGAGAAGAACGGGUGUGAGAGUGGAAAGUUCACACUGUGACGGUAUCUUACCAGAAAGGGACGGCUAACUACGUG